rnacentral:lncRNA from 1 species
CAGCCUUGGAUGCUGCAAGCAGUGACACUCUCUGAACUCAUACCACGCCAUCUGUCCCCACUUCCUGACCUCUUCUCUUUCAAUCAGUUCUCAGAGGGGAACCAGGUCCUCUUCCCUCCAUCUUUCCUGCCUCCAUCUUCCAGUAAACACAAGCUUAGCAGGGCAAAGAAAAAGGAAGACAGAUGCCCUUCCCUUCUGCUGCCCCCACAGACUGUCACCCUGAGAACCUGGGCAAAGAGGAGGCCACCUGAGAUCUACUCUACAGGGAUGAUGACAGCUACGGGCAUCCUAGCAGCUUUCUAA